rnacentral:rRNA from 1 species
AGAAUCAACGCUGGCGGCGUGCCUAACACAUGCAAGUCGAACGAGAAAGUGGAGCAAUCCAUGAGUAAAGUGGCGACCGGGUGAGUAACACGUGACUAACCUACCUUCGAGUGGGGGAUAACAUCGGGAAACCGAUGCUAAUACCGCAUAACAUCGCAAGAUCAAAGCAGCAAUGCGCUGGAAGAGGGGGUCGCGGCUGAUUAGCUAGUUGGCGGGUAACGGCCCACCAAGGCGAAGAUCGGUAGCCGGCCUGAGAGGGCGCACGGCCACACUGGAACUGAAACACGGUCCAGACUCCUACGGGAGCAGCAGUGGGGAAUUUUGCGCAAUGGGGGAAACCCUGACGCAGCAACGCCGCGUGGAGGAUGAAGCCCCUUGGGUGUAAACUCCUUUCGACCAAGACGAUAAUGACGGUACUGGUGGAAGAAGCACCGGCUAACUCUGUGCCAGCAGCCGC